rnacentral:rRNA from 1 species
UACAGAGGUCUCAAGCGUUGUUCGGAUUCAUUGGGCGUAAAGGGUGCGUAGGUGGCGGGGCCAGUCAGGUGUGAAAUCCCGGGGCUUAACCCUGGAACUGCAUUUGAUACUGCCUUGCUGGAGAACUGGAGAGGAGACUGGAAUUUACGGUGUAGCAGUGAAAUGCGUAGAGAUCGUAAGGAAGACCAGUGGCGAAGGUGAGUCUCUGGACAGUUCCUGACGCUGAGGCACGAAGGCCAGGGGAGCAAACGGG